AACGCACCUUGCGCCUUUUGGCUAUUCCGAAGGGCAUGCCUGUUUGAGUAUCAUGAACACCUCAACUCUCAUGGUUUGCCAUGAUGAGCUUGGACUUUGGAGGUCUUUGCUGGCCUACGGUCAGCUCCUCUCAAACGAAUUAGCUUGCCAGUGUUUGGUGGCAUCACAGGUGUGAUAACUAUCUACACUUGUGGUUUUCCACCAGAUAACCUUCAGCGAUGAAGGUUCGCUGGAGCUCACAAAUGUCUCUCCUCGGCGAGGACAGCUUUCUGAACGUUUGAUCUCAAAUCAGGUAGGACUACCCGCUGAACUUAA
rnacentral:misc_RNA from 1 species